rnacentral:rRNA from 1 species
CCUACGGGGGGCAGCAGUGAGGAAUAUUGGUCAAUGGGCGUAAGCCUGAACCAGCCAUCCCGCGUGCAGGAAGAAGGCGCUAUGCGUCGUAAACUGCUUUUCCAGGGGAAGAAAACCCGCUACGUGUAGUGGCUUGCCGGUACCCUGGGAAUAAGCAUCGGCUAACUCCGUGCCAGCAGCCGCGGUAAUACGGAGGAUGCGAGCGUUAUCCGGAUUUAGUGGGUGUAAAGGGUUUGAUAAGGCAGUGGUAAAAUCCUUCAGCUUAACUGGAGACUUGCCAUUGAUACUGUUAGUCUUGAGUACGGUCAAGGUAGGCGGAAUGUGUAAUGUAGCGGUGAAAUGCUUAGAUAUUACACAGAACACCGAUUGCGAAGGCAGCUUACUGGGCCAUUACUGACGCUGAUGCACGAAAGCGUGGGGAGCGAACAGGAUUAGAUACCCUUGUAGUC